AGUCUGAAUAGGGCGUUUGAGUAUGUAGUCGUAGACCCGAAACCAUGUGAUCUACCCAUGUCCAGGUUGAAGGUGCGGUAAAACGCACUGGAGGACCGAACCCACGUACGUUGAAAAGUGCGGGGAUGAGGUGUGGGUAGCGGAGAAAUUCCAAACGAACUUGGAGAUAGCUGGUUCUCUCCGAAAUAGCUUUAGGGCUAGCCUCGGAAUUGAGAAUGAUGGAGGUAGAGCACUGUUUGGACUAGGGGCCCAUCUCGGGUUACCGAAUUCUGAUAAACUCCGAAUGCCAUUCAUUCAUAUCCGGGAGUCAGACUGUGAGUGAUAAGAUCCAUAGUCGAAAGGGAAACAGCCCAGACCACCAGCUAAGGUCCCAAAAUAUAUGUUAAGUGGAAAAGGAUGUGGGGUUGCACAGACAACUAGGA
rnacentral:rRNA from 1 species